rnacentral:rRNA from 1 species
CGAUAGUGGACAGAGGGUUCGAUCUAGCUCAGAUUGAACGCUGGCGGGAUGCUUUACACAUGCAAGUCGAACGGCAGCACGGACUUCGGUCUGGUGGCGAGUGGCGAACGGGUGAGUAAUGUAUCGGAACGUGCCUAAUAGCGGGGGAUAACUACGCGAAAGCGUAGCUAAUACCGCAUACGCCCUUCGGGGAAAGCGGGGGACCUUCGGGCCUCGCACUAUUAGAGCGGCCGAUAUCGGAUUAGCUAGUUGGUGGGGUAACGGCUCGCAAGGCGACGAUCCGUAGCUGGUUUGGACUGACCGACCACACUGGGACUGAGACACGGCCCAGACUCCUGCGGGAGGCAGCAGUGGGGAAUUUUGGACAAUGGGGAAACCCUGAUCCAGCCAUCCCGCGUGAAUGACCGCUGGGUUGUAAAACGAAAACGGCACGGGAUAAUACCCCGUGCAACUGACGGCUGCAGAAUGGGCCUUCCGGCUAACUACGUGCCAGCAGCCGCGGUAAUACGUAGGGUGCAAGCGUUAAUCGGAAUUACUGGGCGUAAAGCGUGCGCAGGCGGUUCGGAAAGAAAGAUGUGAAAUCCCAGAGCUUAACUUUGGAACUGCAUUUUUAACUACCGAGCUAGAGUGUGUCAGAGGGAGGUGGAAUUCCGCGUGUAGCAGUGAAAUGCGUAGAUAUGGAGGACACUGAUGGCGGUGUUUCCUGGGAUAACACUGACGCUCAUGCACAGACGUGGGGAGCAAACAGGAUUAGGUGCUGUUGGUCUGUAGCACUAAACGAUCCUUUAGCUGUUGGGGCCUUCAGCCCUUGGUAGCGCAGCUAACGCGUGAAGUUGACCGCCUGGGGAGAGUACGGUCGCAAGAUUAAAACUCAAGGGAAUUGACGGGGACCCGCACAAGCGGUGGAUGAUGUGGAUUAAUUCAGUGUGCAACGCGAAAAACCUUACCUACCCUUGACAUGUCUGGAAUCCCGAAGAGAUUUGGGGAGUGCUCGCAAGAGAACCGGAACACAGGUGCUGCAUGGCUGUCGUCAGCUCGUGUCGUGAGAUGUUGGGUUAAGUCCCGCAACGAGCGCGACCUGCUCAUUAGUUGCUACGAAAGGGCACUCUAAUGCAAGACUGCCGAUGAAGCGGAGGAAGGUGGGGAUGAUGACGUCAAGUCCUCAUGGCCCUUAUGGGUAGGGCUUCACACGUCAUAUAAUGGUCGGGACAGAGGGUCGCCAACCCGCGAGGGGAGCCAAUCCCAGAAACCCGAUCGUAGUCCGGAUCGCAGUCUGCAACUCGACUGCGUGAAGUCAAGAAUCGCUAGUAAUCCUUGGAUCAGCAUGUCGCGGUGAAUACGUUCCCGGGUCUUAUUUGCCAUUCACCAAUCACACCAUGGGAGUGGGUUUUGCAGAAGUAGUUAGCCUAACCGUAAGGAGGGCGAUUACCACGGUAGGAUUCAUGACUGGGGUGAAGUCGUAACAAGGUAA